rnacentral:tRNA from 1 species
ACCUGGCUGGCUCAGCUGGUAGGGCAUGCGACCGUUGAUCUCAGCGUUAUGAGUUCAAGUCCCAUGUUGGGUG